rnacentral:ncRNA from 1 species
CAAGUUUCUAUCAAUCAAAUUCUGAAUACCAAAAAAAGGACUACACUCUCUCACUCGUUUAUUUACAGUAAAACAGAUACCAACAAACCCACACCAAAUUGUUUGAUUCACAUCACACCCAAAAUACAAAUGGUCAAAAAAGAGGAUUCUCUCAAAAUUUCAAGGUAAAGAACUAAAGAAAAGUGAAAAUGUAUAUAUUAAACUAGAGAAGCCUCCUCCUGAAGUUUCUGGUCGUUGAUUGAUAAGUACGAACGAGAAGACCGACACCAAUCCCAAGACCAACGCAGACACCAAGUCCUAU